CUCAAAACACCUGUGUGCAGCUGCUCUCUGAUGAACUCUGAACUCUGAGUGAAGUAACGUCAGUGCUAAAAAGUUAUUGAAAAAGUGACUCUCUCCCUUUUAUUUAGGCUACUAAAACAGUGCAAAGUUAGGAAAAUAUGUUGGUUCCUUUUUGCAGGACUAUUGUACUUAUUCCACUGUGUGACCUGAUUCAGCCCACGGGAAGAGUUUAGGGACCCAAAACGACAGGCUGUAAUCGGAGUAGGAAAAGGGGAAGAGAUAGAGGGCAGCCAUCUUGGAUUUCCAAUUCCUCUGAAUGAAGCAUUUCACUUGCCCUGGCAGACCUUAUUCAAGUGCACAGAUAUUUGGCACACUGGGAGUGGCCGUUGUACUCAGCCAGGUCUGCUCCUGUGAAGCCGUCCUGGUCCCUGACGCCCAGGUCCACCCCAUUGACCACAAGGAUCUGACAGCACUGGAGAGGGACAUGAGAGACACGCAGAGAGAGGUCUCAACCUGACGCUGAACGGCUUCUGACUGAAGAACAACAACAACAACAACUCAAAGCUUUAAAGAGCGCUGGUUUUAGCCGUUUCUAUGCUGUUACAUGAACAACAACAAGCAUCAGUUUCAACCACCAUUUAUUUUUUCUUUUAAGGGUGAGGGAAUGAAUGGAGGUGUACAGUACAUACAGUAUUCCUAUUCUGUAUAUAUCCCUGAAGACUAAACAUGUCUAUUUAUAAAUCACAAGAUUUGAAAGUUUAAGGACCAUCGUCAGUAUCCUAGGUAAGUAAGAAACAAUGGUAAUGGAGCCAGAGGAGUAAUAUUCAGAGAUUUAAAUCACAAAUUUGGUUCUUUAAUUAUUAUUAUUUUACCUACAAUGGCCAUAAUAGUUUCUUACUGGAGGUUUAGACGGAUAACUUUCUAGAACAACCUAAUGCAGAGGUUGACCCUUCUCAACUGCGUCUUUGAAUUAUGGCUUGGCCAAAGAUCUGAAUCUACACUAAUUGAUUACAUAACCUGUCUGUGGCCUCGUGCUCUCUGUCGUUCUGUCUCGCUCUUCAUUCAUUCACUCUUUUGUUUCCUGAGGCUAUCAGCAGCGGUGCAGCACAUGAGCCUGUUGGUUUUGGAUCUCUGGGAUGGAUGGGCAAAUGAGCAACCCAUUCAGAUGUAGCUUACAAAUCUAACAAACACUGAAAUCAGGGGAAACAAAGCCGCAUCUGUGCAUUUCCAGUUGUAACACAAAAAGACAGCGAUUGAUCAAUGAGUCCAACACUGCAGACAGCUGAAUACUGCUGCCAUUUUAUUGAAAGACCUCUCCCCAUGAGUGCGUACUUAUACUUAACAUCUUCUGACCUUUGCAAGUCAUUCUAAAGAAAACACAUUUGUUGAGUAGAUCCUUGCAUUUUCUAUCAUGAAAAGGUCAUACUGGAUAAAGAUAAACAACACAAAUAUAUCUGUACUAUGCCUUAAUCCCCCCACCAGCUUUAAAAAUCUAUAUUGGUCAAAGCAGAAAGUAUGAAGUCUUGAAAUAGAUGGUUUAUGGAGAAUGAUACUGAAAUAGAACUUUAAACCAUUGGUUUAGUGUAAUGCAGCAAAGGACUUAAAAUGUAGUUGUAGUUUGUUAACCGUUAAUAAGGAGGAGAGGUUUCAUGUAGUACUCGUCGUUUUUCAAACAGACGCAACUUGGAGACAUCCAAUCUCCUCUUAACACUAGCGGAUACAAAUGUGCAUCUUGUAAUAAACCCUGAAACAAGAAAGCUAUCUCUCCUCUGCAAAGUUCAAUUCUGAACAAUGCCUGAGGCAGCAACUAGAAAGCAGCUCGUCUAUUCAAAAGGAUUUGUUUUCCUCAUUACCUUAUCGCCGGUUGGCGCUACUGCGUGUCGCCGUGGAGAUGGUGGUAAACAGUAACAGUGCGAGUGGUGGUGGAGGAGAGUGAAUGGGGCCCUGCUAUCAGGGAGCUACCAUGUCCCUGAGGAUCAUUAAAUUUUCAGCAGCUAUGCACCUGUCUGAGGUGCAACCACACAUUAUUGGAGGUGCAGAGCACGAGGUUAGGCCUGACAAGCUGCUCAUCCUGAUCAGGUCAUCGAUGUCAUCACGCUGGGCUGCUUAGAUAAAGACUAGGUUGUAAAUUAAUGAUAUUUCUUUAUGGCAGCUGUGAGUAAUCCGUGUUGAAUAUA